rnacentral:rRNA from 1 species
GAUGAACGCUGGCGGCGUGCCUAAUACAUGCAAGUCGAGCGAACAGAUAAGGAGCUUGCUCCUUUGACGUUAGCGGCGGACGGGUGAGUAACACGUGGGUAACCUACCUAUAAGACUGGUAUAACUCCGGGAAACCGGGGCUAAUGCCGGAGAAGAUUUAGAACCGCAGGGUUCGAAAGUGAAAGAUGGUGGUGCUAGCACUUAUAGAGGGACCCGGGCCGUAUUAGCUAGUUGGUAAGGUAACGGCUUACCAAGGCAAGGAUACGUAGCCGACCUGAGAGGGUGGUCGGCCACACUGGAACUGAGCCACGCUCCAGACUCCUACGGGAGGCAGCAGUCGGGUAUCUUCCGCAAUGGGCGAAAGCCUGACGGAGCGACCCCGCGUGAGUGAUGACGGUCUUCGGUUCGUAAUACUCUGUUAUUGGGUGAGAACCACUGUCUCAGUAACUGUGCACGUCUUGACGGUAACUAAUCAGAAAGCCACGGCUAACUACGUG